CAAUUUCUUUCAAACCACCAUACCAUAGGAUUUCCAACUGCAUUCUUCUCCAACUGGAGAGACUUUGACAUCCCAGGUCAGCACAGUGCCUGCAAUUGCCACUUGCCCUUCCCAUGCAU